rnacentral:tRNA from 1 species
GGAGAGAUGGCUGAGUGGACGAAAGCGACGAAUUGCUAAUUCGUUGUACAUUUGUACCGAGGGUUCGAAUCCCUCUCUUUCCG